CAGGAACAAAGACUCAAAUUUUUCUUUAACUAUUCACGGGAUCCUCCCUGUUCGAGAUCGAAAGGGUGUCAUAGAAAUCGUAAGAUUAGCUCGGUUACACCCUCAGAGAGAACUCCAAAUUUUAGCGUAGUCUUGAGAAAAAAGACCCUUUUGACAACUUUUACUGGUACAAUUUUAUAACACUCUGUGUCAUUUCAUUAUGGUAAUAUGUUUUGACGGACCGAUCUCCUCUGAGAAGACGAAGCUGUCUACACUGAGUCAUAUUUGCACUCUCCUUGUAUACAUGUACUCUAUGGUUUUGUUGUGUGCUUUGCUUUCAGAAAAAAAAAAUGCCUGAUCUCGUUGCUCGUUGUCCGACGAUUCAGCGUUGGCGAGAACGGUUUUCCACCGUCAUGUUAGAAAUUCCAGCCCGCCUCCGCCAAUUCAUCCCAGAGCGGAGACCUGCUCUGGUGUACCCCUCGGAGCCUCUAGUGUUGGGUCCGUUCGAAGAUACCCCUCAAGCACGCGCAGAGAGGGAGGAGAGGGCUGCUAGGUGGCCGAUCUUCGACCCACCCUAUGAGUUCGUUAAUUGGGAGGGCGAUAUUCGUCCUCUCCCCGGAUAUGAUGCUUGGAGGCAAGAGGAGGCAGCUGCCAGUGCCCGCUGGGAAGAGGAGUUUCCGCCCUAUGAAGUCCCAGAAGAAGAAGAAGAGGUGUACGACACCGAGGAAGAUGAGGAGGAUAUGAACGAGUCUGAAGAGGAAGUUGAGCCCCUUGUCCUCCCCUAUCCGGACGAGGCGGAAGAUCGGGAUUUCUUCCUCGAUGCUAUAUUUUAGUUGUUGUUCUGUUAAGUUCUUAAAUUUUUCUUUUUCUUUGUAAUAAUAAUAAUAAGUUUCUUUCGUUUUUUUUUUCAUGUCUUAAAGAGUUUUUUAAUAGAUGAUUUUAAAAACUUAACUUCCUUUUGUUUGAUUUUUUCAUCGCACCCGUCUUCUUUUUUUUUUUUUUUUUUUAAUUUUGAUGAUUUGUGAACUCUUUGUUUUAUUUAUCAUUCCUUCUACUUUCUCUUAUCUUAUUUUUCGCUUUCUAUAUUGAUGUUAAAUUUUUUCCAUUCGCUUUUUCUUUUUCUUGUUUAAUUUUUUCUUUUUUCACUUUUUCUGAUUGUAUUUAUUUUUCUUUUCUUUUUCCAUUCUGUUUUUUCUCUUCUCUUGUUUUCUCUCUUUUAUUUUAAACUUUUCCGAUUUCCUUUUUGAAUUUUCCUUUCUGAGUUUCUCUUUGGUUAUUUGUCUCUCGUUUGUUUUUUUGUCUCUUCUUCUUUCUUUUCUUUUUAACUUUUCUGUUUGCUUCGUUUCGAAGUUUUCUUUUCAGCGUUUUCUCUUUGCUUAUUUGUCUCUUCGUUUGUUUUUUGUCUCUUCUUCUUUUUCUAUUUUUAACUUUUCUGUUUGGUUGGUUUCGAAGUUUUCAUUUGUCCUGUGUAGCAUUUCCAUAGUAAAAAUUUGUCUCCUCCAGCAAGAGUUGUGCUUGUUGUCUGGGGGUUAUUUGAAGGGGCCCCCCUUUCAUUGUUAGUUUAUGUAGUUAAAUUGAAAUAGGUUGCAAUUCUUCUAUGCAUUGCAUAUUGCCUAUCUCACUGUCCCAUGAAGAUAAUUUUGUUGUUUGGUUGGAAUACUUCUACAUUGAGUAUUCGCUGUUUAAUAUUUCAUAAUUUAAGUUUUAAACUUACAAUU
rnacentral:lncRNA from 1 species